GGAGUCUUCCAGAAUCUCACAAUCCAGGAGGUUGAAGAGGCCUCCAGAAGCCCCGACGAGUCUGCUUAUGUCAUUAACAGCCAGUCCUUGUCGGACCCUGAACAAGUACUUUCAGUCUGCUUGGAUCAGUAUGGGCCUUCCAGGCAAACCCACCUUUACUGAAGUAUGGACUGCGAUCGCGACCCAUGCAAAGAAUGCACACUCUUCAGAGGAUCGCCGCAAGGUGGCGCAAUUCAUGUGCCAUGACACUUCAACCUCAGAUAAGAGGAUGGGGAGGCAGCAGGCACUGAAAGCCCCCCGCGGAAAGGGCACAAGAGGACAGAGACUCCCGUCUCUCCCCUGGUAAAAUCAGAUUCUCUUUGGCGUGGACAGCAGAACGUGUGGCAUUGGCUAACUGCCCUUUAUGUGUCUCUUUUCCAGGAGGGAACCAGCAGGAGGACGCUGCCAUGGCGUCCUGCCAUGGCGUCCUGCCAGGGGAAAAAGCCAGGGCGCUCGUCCACUCAAACCAACAGAAGACUCUGAAUCGUCCUGAAUAAAUAUUGUACAACUUAACAGUCAAAUGGUGUUCAGUGUCUUCAUUAUUCCUUUUAUUUAUUAUCUGUGUGGUAAAAGUAGAUUCAGUAGGGACAAAUGAGCCCUGUCUUCUCAGUUCAAAGCUGGAUGC